CUAUGACUCAUAUUUCUUCUGUGGUUCUCAAACUUCUUCGAGUAAUACUUUACUUCCAA
rnacentral:sRNA from 1 species